rnacentral:rRNA from 1 species
GGACUGAGACACGGCCCAGACUCCUACGGGAGGCAGCAGUGGGGAAUAUUGCACAAUGGGGGAAACCCUGAUGCAGCAACGCCGCGUGAAGGAAGACGGUUUUCGGAUUGUAAACUUCUGUUCUUAGUGAAGAAUAAUGACGGUAGCUAAGGAGCAAGCCACGGCUAACUACGUGCCAGCAGCCGCGGUAAUACGUAGGUGGCAAGCGUUGUCCGGAAUUACUGGGUGUAAAGGGAGCGUAGGCGGGAUGCCAAGUCAGCUGUGAAAACUAUGGGCUUAACUUGUAGACUGCAGUUGAAACUGGUAUUCUUGAGUGAAGUAGAGGUUGGCGGAAUUCCGAGUGUAGCGGUGAAAUGCGUAGAUAUUCGGAGGAACACCGGUGGCGAAGGCGGCCAACUGGGCUUUAACUGACGCUGAGGCUCGAAAGUGUGGGGAGCAAACAGGAUUAGAUACCCUGGUAGUCCACACUGUAAACGAUGAUAACUAGGUGUGGGGGGUCUGACCCCUUCCGUGCCGCAGCUAACGCAAUAAGUUAUCCACCUGGGGAGUACGACCGCAAGGUUGAAACUCAAAGGAAUUGACGGGGACCCGCACAAGCAGUGGAUUAUGUGGUUUAAUUCGAAGCAACGCGAAGAACCUUACCAGCACUUGACAUCCGACUAACGAAGUAGAGAUACAUUAGGUGCCCUUCGGGGAAAGUCGAGACAGGUGGUGCAUGGUUGUCGUCAGCUCGUGUCGUGAGAUGUUGGGUUAAGUCCCGCAACGAGCGCAACCCCUGCCAUUAGUUGCUACGCAAGAGCACUCUAAUGGGACCGCUACCGACAAGGUGGAGGAAGGUGGGGACGACGUCAAAUCAUCAUGCCCCUUAUGUGCUGGGCUACACACGUAAUACAAUGGCCAUCAACAAAGAGAAGCAAUACCGCGAGGUGGAGCAAAACUAUAAAAAUGGUCUCAGUUCGGACUGCAGGCUGCAACCCGCCUGCACGAAGUUGGAAUUGCUAGUAAUCGUGGAUCAGCAUGCCACGGUGAAUACGUUCCCGGGUCUUGUACACACCGCCCGUCACACCAUGGGAGUUGGUAACACCCGAAGUCAGUAGUCUAACCGCAAGGAGGACGCUGCCGAAGGUGGGAUUGACGACUGGGGUGAAGUCGUAACAAGGUAGCCGUAUCAGAAGGUGCGGCUG